UCGCUGUGAUGAAAAUGACCCCAAACCAUUCGUAGUUUCCACCAGAAGUUGAGACAUGUGUUGGCCCAAGUUCCUUCCUUGGAUGUCUGAGCGA